rnacentral:rRNA from 1 species
AGAGUUUGAUCCUGGCUCAGGAUUAACGCUGGCGGCGUGCAUAACACAUGCAAGUCGAACGAUGAAACUUUAAUGAACCCUUCGGGGAGAAUUAAAGCGGAUUAGUGGCGAACGGGUGAGUAACGCGUGAGUAACCUGCCUUACACAAGGGGAUAGCCUUUGGAAACGAAGAAUAAUACCCUAUAAAACCAUAAAAGCACAUGCAAUUAUGGUCAAAGUAUUAGCGGUGUAAGAUGGACUUGCGUCUGAUUAGCUAGUUGGUGAGAUAAAAGCCCACCAAGGCAACGAUCAGUAGCCGGCUUGAGAGAGUGUACGGCCACAUUGGGACUGAGACACGGCCCAGACUCCUACGGGAGGCAGCAGUGGGGAAUUUUGCACAAUGGGGGAAACCCUGAUGCAGCGACGCCGCGUGAUUUAGAAGGCCUUCGGGUUGUAAAAAUCUUUUGUAUAGGAAGAAAAUGACAGUACUAUACGAAUAAGGUCCGGCUAAUUACGUGCCAGCAGCCGCGGUAAUACGUAAGGACCGAGCGUUGUCCGGAAUCAUUGGGCGUAAAGGGUACGUAGGCGGCUAGAAAAGUUAGAAGUCAAAGGCUAUAGCUCAACUAUAGUAAGCUUCUAAAACUAUUUAGCUUGAGAGAUGGAAGGGAAAGUGGAAUUCCUAGUGUAGCGGUGGAAUGCGCAGAUAUUAGGAGGAAUACCGGUGGCGAAGGCGACUUUCUGGCCAUUUUCUGACGCUGAGGUACGAAAGCGUGGGUAGCAAACAGGAUUAGAUACCCUGGUAGUCCACGCCGUAAACGAUGAGUGUUAGGUGUCUGGAGUCAAAUCUGGGUGCCGCAGCAAACGCAUUAAACACUCCGCCUGGGGAGUACGCACGCAAGUGUGAAACUCAAAGGAAUUGACGG